AUUCUGCCCAAGCGGGGAAGGGCGAGAAGCUUCGACCAAGGUUCGACUCGAGCGCCAGCGAGAGAGCGUUGCCGCAGGCAACGACCCGAAGGGCGAAGCGCGCAGCGCUGAGUAAUCCUUCCCCCACCACCA
rnacentral:sRNA from 1 species